UUGGACGGUUGGGUUUGGUUUCACACCUGGAAAAAUUCAAGCGUACAAAAUUUAGUUAUUACAAAUCAGGCAAGAACGUCCAGCCCUAUUUUGGUCAGAUAUGUCUGGGGGAAAGUAAAUACAGGAAGAAGGUCCUGUGUUCUGGUCUAGUGGUCAAACCAGCUCAUUUUAUUAAAAUGAUUAGACAUUGAGACUUCGUCUGAUGUGGUCACUGAGACUUGGCUCUGCUCUGCCGGCGUCUGACUCCAACUUUAGCGGCAUCUGGUUUGACCACGGAGAUACGAGUGACAGACGGCAAGCUUGACCACAGUUUGUUUCUGUGAUAGAAACACUGCACGCUGCUACAGUUUGCUGCUCUGCUGCAAGGCAAACUGCUAAACACCCCUGACGACAGGAGACAUCAGCUCAGAUUGGAGGAGUGUGUAUAGUUGGUACUAUUUAGAAGUGGACUGUUACUAUAACUACGUUCCUGUAACUACUUGGUUUGAAAGAGACUACAUCCAAGUUUCAAAUCAUGACUGGAGGUUUUAUGUGGCAUGGCUUUAAAGGGCAGCUUAAAUGUAGCAGCAUUACAAACCAAAUCCUUGAUCAGUGAGGA